AAUCAACGCUGGCGGCGUGCCUAACACAUGCAAGUCGAACGCGAGAGGGGCUUCGGCCCGAUUGAGUGGCGAACGGGUGAGUAACGCGUGGGUGACCUACCUUCGAGUGGGGGAUAACGUCCCGAAAGGGACGCUAAUACCGCAUAACAUCCUGCUUUGAAUGGGUGGAGAUCAAAGCCGGGGAGUCGCAAGACCUGGCGCUUGAUGAGGGGCCCCGCGUCUGAUUAGCUAGUUGGGAGGUAACGGCCCACCAAGGCAACGAUCAGUAUCCGGCCUGAGAGGGCGGACGGACACACUGGGACUGAGACACGGGCCCA
rnacentral:rRNA from 1 species